rnacentral:rRNA from 1 species
CCUGUUUAAUCUUACUAGUAGUCAUAUGGUUGUUUUAAAGAUUAAGCCAUACAUACGUAAGUAUGAACUAAUUCAGACUGUGAAACUACGAAUGGCUCAUUAUAUCAGUUAUAGUUUGUUUAAUGGUAUCUACUACUCGGAUAAUUAUAGUAAUUCUAGAGCUAAUACAUGUAACACACCCUAACUUUUGGAAGGGAUGCAUUUAUUAGAUAAAAGGUUAAUGUGGGCUUUGCCCAUUGUUCUAAUGAUUUAUGAUAACUCAAUGGAUUACAUGGCCUUUGUGCCAGCAGCAUCAUUCAAAUUUCUACCCUAACAACUUUUGAUGGUAAGAUAAUGGCCUACUAUAGUGGUGACGGAUGACAGAGAAUUAGGGUUUGAUCCUAAAAAAGGUGCAUGAGAAAUAGCUACCACAUAUAGGGAAGGCAGUAAGAGUGCAAAUUACCUAAUCUUGACGCAGAGAAGUAGUGAUAAUAAAUAACAAUAUUGAGCUCUAUAAGUCUGGUAAUUGGAAUGAGUGCAAUCUAAAUCCUUUAAUGAGAAUCCAUUGAAGAGUAAGUCUAGUGCUUACUGCCACUGUAAUUCCAGCUCUAAUAGUGUAUAUUUAAGUUGUUGUAGUUAAAAAACUCAUAGUUAGAUCUAGGGUCAGGUCAUUUAGUCUGCCUCUCGGUAAACACUAGUUUACUUAUUCUUACUGUCAACAAUGCAUUUUUGAACUUAACUAGCCAGGUCGUUUCUCUAAUAUUGUUACUUUGAAGAAAUUAGAGUGCUUAAAGCAAGCCUAUGCUUGUACACAUUAGCAUGGGAUAACAUCAUAGGAUUUUAGUCCUAUUAUGUUGGUCUUCGAGAUCAAAGUAAUGAUUAACAAAGACAAUCGAGGGCAUUCAUAUUUCAUAGUUAGAGGUGAAAUUCUUGGAUUUAUGAAAAACAAAUAACUGUGAAAGCAUUUGCUAAUGAUAUUUUUAUUAAUCAAAAAUGAAAGUUGAAGGCUCGAAGAUGAUCAGAUACCAUCCUAGUCUCAACCAUAAAUGUUACUGAUCGUGAUUGACAGAUGUUACUUUUAAGACUCCACUAGCACCUUAUGAGAAAUCAAAGUUUUGGGUUUCAGGGGAAGUGUGGUCAUAAGGAUGAAACAUAAAGGAAUUGAUGGAAGGGCACUAUCAAGAGUGGAACCUGCAGCUUAAAUUGACUCAGUAUAGGAAAACUUACUAGGUCUAAACAUAAUAAAGAUUAACAGACUGAGAGCUUUUUCUUAAUUCUAUAGGUGGUAGUGCAUGGUCAUUCUUAGUUGGUAGAGCAAUUUGUCGGGUUAAUUCUAUUAAUGAAUGAGACCACAGCUUGCUAACUAGUUACACAGAGGUGAUCUUUUCAUGGUUAGCUUCUUAGAGGGACUAUGGUCGUUUAGGCUAAAAAAGUUUGAGGCAAUAAUAGGUCUGUGAUGCCUUUUGAUAUUCUGGGCCACGCAUGCACUACACUGAUGUAUUCAAUGAGUCUAUAGCCUUGGUUGAUGAGCCUGGGUAAUCUUUGAAAUUCUAUAAUGAUGGGAAUAGAUCAUUUCAAUUGUUGGUCUUCAAUGAGAAAUUCUUGGUAAACGUAAGCUAUCAGCUCGCGCUGACUACAUCCUUACCCUUUGUACAUAUUGCCUGUCGUUCUUUCCGAUUGAAUGGUCUGGUGAAGUAUUCGAAUUGUGGUAACAUAGUUGGUUUAUUACCCACGACAUUGUGAGAAGUUCACUGAACCUUAUCAUUUAAAGAAAGAAAAAGCCGUAACAAGGUUUUCGUAAGUGAACUUGUAGAAG